rnacentral:rRNA from 1 species
UACGGGGGGGGCAAGCGUUGUUCGGAAUUACUGGGCGUAAAGGGCGCGUAGGCGGCCUUCUAAGUCGAAUGUGAAAUCCCCGGGCUCAACCUGGGACUUGCAGUUGAAACUGGAAAGCUAGAGUAGGGUAGAGGGGUGUGGAAUUCCAGGUGUAGCGGUGAAAUGCGUAGAUAUCUGGAGGAACAUCAGUGGCGAAGGCGACACCCUGGACUCAUACUGACACUGAGGUGCGAAAGCGUGGGGAGCAAACAGG